GCCCGGGUGGUGAAAUUGGUAGACACGCUACUUUGAGGGGGUAGUGGCCGUUCGGCUGUGCUGGUUCGAGUCCAGUCCCGGGCA
rnacentral:tRNA from 1 species